CCAAGGUGUGUGUCAGGGGAGCAUGGAGUCGACAGAGGACCAGGCCCCCCAGGCACCGGCGAGGGGUGGGCCAGGUCAGGCUGGUGCCCGAAGGCCCUGCAGAGGCUCUGAACUUCAGACGAUCCCAGAGGCACGCAGGCCAGGACACCUGGCUUUGCAUGGCCACAGGUGGUUGCGGGGUGGGUCCGGGAUGGACCUAGAAGCCAGGCCUCGUGGGGUUGGGGAGCUUGACUCGACAGGCCCGGAAGUGAGCCAGGCCCUCACCUCUUUGCUGCAGGUGCGGUGGUCUGCAGGGUCUGGGAGCUGGGCGUGGGGGACGCCCGGCGGGGCCCCCGGGCCCGAGGGGAGCGUCGGCGACACACCAUCACCAACGGUGUGGACUGUGACCUGGUGAGCAGGGGCCCGGGGCUCUGGGACGCCUCCCCCUGGCCUGGGACUGGACUUGGCCCCCACACUGGGUCUCCAGGAGCACCGCUCUGCCCGGGACCCCCAGAUGGUGGCCCAGGGUCAGGUCAGGAAGUCCUUUAGGGGAAAGGCCUGGCCCCCUCCCCAGCAGCGUGCCUCCCCGCCCUGCUGAGUGCCCGGCCCCUGCUGUAAAGAGAAGGGAAGCUUCCCCGGGGCCGCUUGUGUGAAGGGGCUGAGGAAGGCCAGGAGCCCCCAGGAGGGGACAUGGGGCCGAGCUCCCCAGUGCAGCAGCACGCGAGGGCUCGCACGUGCAUGAUGUGUGUGCACGUGCCCCUCGGCCCAUGUCCGUGUAGGCUGGUACACGUCGCAUGGCUGGGGCUCCUCCAGCACAUGUAGGCGGGUGCAGGCACGCACCCACUGUGGGCUUGGUGGCUUUGGUCCCUGUGUGACAGCUGAAGCAGAUGAAGGAGCUGGAGCAGGAGCAGGAGGUGCUGCUGCAGGGUCUGGAGAUGAUGGCGCGGGGCCGGGAGUGGUACCAGCAGCAGCUGCAGCGCGUGCAGGAGCGCCAGCGCCGCCUGGGCCAGAGCAGGGCCAGCGCCGUGAGUGUCGCUGCCCCAGGCAUCCAUCCCCCAGGCAGAGUGACCCACAUGUGAUCACCCACCCAAACACAGGGACCCCCAAGUGGGCAGGAGACUGUCCUGUUCCCGGGCACAAUGGCUGUCCCACCACCCCCAAUACCACCCCCCUCAGCUCUGGGCAGUAACUCCCCCCCGCCCCCCCAUGAGGACGCCCAGGGCAGGCACUGGUGCUGACCCUGGGCAGGCUCUGCUCUCUGAGCACCCCUGCCCUGCCUUCCUCCCAGGACUUUGGGGCUGAGGGGAGCCCCCGCCUGCUGGGACAGCUGCUGCCCAAGGGGCAGGAGGUGGCCCGGUGCCUGGGGGAGCUGCUGGCUGCAGCCUGUGCUGGCAGGGCGCUGGCCUCCUCCUCCGUGGGGGCCCUGGGCCCUGUCGCGGCCCCUGCGUCACCCUCGGCCCCAGGCUGGCAGCAGCAGACCAUUCUCAUGCUGAAAGAGCAGAACCGGCUGCUCACCCAGGUGAGGUGCGGAGAGGGGGUGGGGCGGGACCAAGGGCCCGGCGGCCUGACUGGCCUCCUCCUGCCCAGGAGGUGACGGACAAGAGCGAGCGCAUCACGCAGCUGGAGCAGGAGAAAUCCGCCCUCAUCAAGCAGCUGUUCGAGGCCCGCGCCCUCACCCAGCAGGACGCUGGGCCUCUGGACUCCACCUUCAUCUAGCCUGCCACAGGCACGGACACGGGGCCCCGCAGCCCGGCCUGGCCCUCCUCCCCAGGCGGGCACUUCCUUGUGCCCCACCUCUGAGGCUGAGGACGCCCUGGCCAGCCCGGACACCCGGACAUCGCCUGCCCUUCUCCCUUUCAGUCUGGGCUCCUCCAAGCUCUCCCCAGGCCUCCUCCCACCGCAGGGUGUCCUGAGGCCUCAGCAGACUCCACCUUGGUCUCGGGCUGACCUGGGUGGGACUCCAACGAGCCCGCACAGCCUGAAGCUGCUGCUGCUGCCAUUGUCCUAAAAGGCACUGGUCACACCGCACUGCACUUCCAAGAGCGGCCAGCAGAGGGAGCUGCGCGCACCGGUCGCCACCACCCGGCCGCCCAAAGGGCUGGGGUUUGGGGUAUCCCGCGGCCUGGGGCGCGCCGGACCCGGGGGUCCAAGGGCCUCUUCCCCGCUCCAGAAAGGAAGCUGUUCCUCAGCCAGGACCAGCGGAGGUGGCCUCCAGGAGGGAUCUACUUGUGUCCGGUUCCAGGGGAGCCCCCGACCCAGGAAUGGUGUCCUGGAUUUGUGCUGGCCUGCUUGCUCUCCCCACAGACCUUAGGUGCUAAACAAGGGAGUCAGCUGUCUUCCCUCCUGGGCAAGAUCACCGAGCACCCUGUGACCCAGGCCCAGAGCCUGCGGCCUGCCCGGUGACCUGGCUGGGGCUGUGGUCACCAGGGGGGGCGCCCAUGUGCUGAGCACCUUACCCAGGCCCCUCCCACCAGAUUCAAGGUUCUGCAGGUAUGCGGACCUGCCAAACCCCCCAUCUUCCCACUCUCAGCUUGGCCCUGGGUCGGGGACUCAGGACUCUGGAAGGGGCUGGCAGAGGGUCCUGUUGGGGGGUCAUGGCCUGUGCCCACCACCAGGCCUGCUCUAGGGGGGCCGCUACGCAGCUGGGCCUGCCAAUGGCAUCUCAGGCGGGGCGGUGCCCCCACUACCGCCCCCCAGGCUAAGAGGACAAUAACAUUUCAGGCAGGCUGAGUGGUUCUGGGCCCUGGUCCCAUGUGGGCGUGUAUGGAGCACAGCAUGGAGCCAGCUUGAUCACAGCGGAGGGGCACUGGGUGCAGGGUGGCAGCUCCUGCCAGCCCCACCCUGGGCCACACCAGCAGCAACCUGGCUGAGGCCGCUCCCCACACGGCCCUCGGGUUGUUCCCGUCAGGCCCAAGUCCGCCCAGGACAUGUGCUCCCCGCUCCGGAUGGGAGUGGGAGACAGGAAGGAGACAUGGUCCCAAAGGCCAGAUGUCACCUGCAGCCCCAAGCAGCCCUGCGGUGUGGUCAUUAGACCAGUGUCCACCCAGGAGAGGUCCUCCCGCCACCAGGACCUUCCCAAGGCUGCCUUUCCCCUGGUUCUUGGGUCCGUUCCCCUCUUCCAUCCAUGGCCGGUCCCCCACACCAGCCUGGGCCCUGAGCCACCCUCACCAGGGGUCCCUCUGCUUGCAGGCUCUCCAAAUGGCCCUCGCUAGUUCCAGAGCUAAAAACUGCCCCUCCCCUGCCCCUAAUCCUCCAGGACGCAGGGCGGGCUCAAGCCCUGAGCAGGCUCAGCCGUUCCCCCCAGACCCCUGCCCCCCUGCCACCAGCGAGGCUUGCCCACUCUGGGCUGUGCAAUUGUCAGGGGCCGAAACAGCAAAGGCGGCAGGACUUGGCCCUGAGGGCGUCUGCUUCCGCCCGGGUCUUUACGGAGCUUGGGCAGCUGAACAGCAGGAGCCCAGGGGUGCCUCUCCCCGCCCCCCGGACGCCGACCUUCAGCUGCAGGGCCAAUGAGGAGUAAACCGGAGACUCAGGGAGAGGCUUCUGGCGGCGCUGGCCUUCCACGCAGGGCAAAGACCUCUUCUUUUACAGCCUGAAACCUGGCUGCAUGUGUGGCUCGAGACAUCAAAGGGAGAAUUCUACCUGGCCCCAGGUUGGCAGCGGCCGGCAGAAGCAAGAGGCGCCCUGCCUGGAGCGGCGGUUCUUAGGGGACGUUGGGGCCAUAAGACUUGGCGGAGCCAUCCUUGCACUGCAGGCUGUUUAGCAACAUCCUGGCCUCCAUCCACAAGGUGCCAGAAACACACACACACACUCUCUCAUCCCUGACAACCAAAACGCUGCUGAGGCCUGGGGGCGGCAGGGGCAAUGGCCCUUAGCUGGGCAUCUACUCCAGAGCAGUGCAGCUCCACCAGGCCACCAAGGAUUUCCUGUGGAUCAAGAACCAAGGAAAAGGAGCAUCUCCAGCUUAAAAAACUUUUCACAAACACCAUAAGGAAAGCCAUGAGAGCCAGCAGAAACAGCAGAUUCGAUAGCCAUUGCAGAUAUUCAAAUAACCGGAGAAUAUAACUAUGUUUUGUAUGUCUGAAGAAAUAAAAAAGUCUUUG
ensembl:lncRNA